rnacentral:lncRNA from 1 species
CGGUAUGGAUGCUACUUUUCAGGCAUACUACUUUUCAGCUUGCCCGGUGUGGAUGUCAUGUCUUUGGAGUUACUGUUGUUGUGUACUUUUGAUGAUAACCAGCUUGCCAUAAUACUAUGCCACAAUAAAUAUUAUACUUUCUAAUUGUAGUUUUGUGCAAACAAGACAUUUUGUUUGAAUUAAUGAACCAGUAUAAAAUUAAUAUAUUAUGAAAUUGGCAUCUUGGCAUUUCUUGCUUUUGUUCAAUACAAUCAUCUAAUUUUAUGUUCAUCAUGGAUUCAUUGCCUCUCCAUUAAACAUAUUUUUAUGUAUCAUAAUUUCUUGACUAUGUCACAACGAUUUGAGGCAGACGAAAAUUAUAUGUCCACUCGCUGGAAAGCUGUUGUUGCUGCCACACAGUGACUCGUACACUCGAAUACGACGAAUUGCAGGGAAAAGACCUUUUUCACAUGAAGUACUCUACAUCCCAUGCACUCUCGUUGGUUCUUGGAAACAUACAUUGACAACAUGAACUGCUAUAUGUGCGGUUGAACCUUUCAACUAAGCCCUCUAACUGUGGACACGUCAGACAAUACGGUCCACAGUCUGAGUCGUCGUAAUUUCAUGUCCCCAAUCUCCAAAACGUUCUUGGUCUGAUCGUGCAUCCACUGCAGUUUGUGUGCUCUUUUCGAAAUUUCGGGCUUCAAGUAGGUUGUACCUCGGGUUGUACUUUACAAAAUUUUAUAUGUUUAUUGAAAUUUAUAAUGACACUUGAUCGGCUUUUCCUUGGGCACCGUCGUGAUGAAAAUAUCUAUCACCUAACUCCAGUAGCAGAGCUCAGGCAUCUUGUAUAUAGUUUAAAUGAUUCUGAAUUUUUUGUGGCCGCGGGCCCACGUAUCCUUUGAAUAAUUUCAAUAGCAUUGGUGGCCAUUCAACAUAUCCCGAUCUUUAAAUUUAAAAGAUUUUCAUGAUUGAAAAUUUAAAGGUUUUUCAUGAUUGAAAAACUUUGUCACAAUUUACGUACGUACUAGUAUAUCGGUUCUCCUUCAGAUAAAAUGAUUGACUUCCGCAAGUGCCUUCGUUUUUUGCACACUCCUUCGGUUUUAGCCAAUUCCUACGUUUUCGUGUUUUCUGCACAAGACGAAGGACUUUGCGAUCUUCUAUACCGUACCGCCCCCAUGCAGUGUCCGUGAAUAUUUCAAACAUAUUGCAUCUUGCUGUUUUUCAUUGAACUAGAACUGUGUACCUGUGCCACCGUCGGGCGGACAAUGCUGAGUUGAUCAUGAAACAGAUCCCAUUAGAAGACAUGAAUGCUGCCGAUAGAGACUCUGCCAUGAAAGAAGUGAAGAUUUUAGACAAACUAAAGCACCCAAACAUCAUUGGACUCUAUGAUAGUUUCAUACAUGGAGCAGCACUUUGCAUUAUUAUGGAAUAUGCUGAAGGUACCAUGUGGGGCAUUAACUACGUGUAGUACAUACAGGGUGUUAGCCAAAAGAUUAAAAAAAUUGGCAAUUUAAUGAAAUUGGGAAAAUUAGUUAGCCAGCGACAUUCAGACAGGAGUUAAGGAAUAUCGUGUUUCUUAAGUGACGUUCUCGUUGCCAAGCGCCAGCUGAGCUAAAUUGAAGUGCAAGUCACUUGACAUAUUUAAAAAGUUUGAGCACAAGCCAGGUGUACGACCCGAAAUAAAGUCUGCAAUUAAAGAUCAUGCAGAAACUACAGGACACGAGACUUCUAUGGAGAAUGGUAAGAUCAUAGAGAAGAGAGUGCAAAAUACACACAAGAGGCUCUUCCUUGAAUCUCUGCACUCAGUGUUGGACAACAAAUGAACAUAAAUUAUUUCCAUCAAUUUACAUGCAUUAGUGCAGUCAUGCAACG